rnacentral:rRNA from 1 species
UACGUAGGGUGCAAGCGUUAAUCGGAAUUACUGGGCGUAAAGCGUGCGCAGGCGGUUUUGUAAGUCUGUCGUGAAAGCCCCGGGCUCAACCUGGGAAUUGCGAUGGAGACUGCAAGGCUUGAAUCUGGCAGAGGGGGGUAGAAUUCCACGUGUAGCAGUGAAAUGCGUAGAGAUGUGGAGGAACCCCGAUGGGGAAGGCAGCCCCCUGGGUCAAGAUUGACGCUCAUGCACGAAAGCGUGGGGAGCAAACAGG